UGGGCUCGUUGGGGCCGACUACACAUAGU
rnacentral:sRNA from 1 species